rnacentral:snRNA from 1 species
AUACCAUCGGUUGUACUCAUCU